UACGUAGGGCGCAAGCGUUGUCCGGAAUUAUUGGGCGUAAAGAGCUCGUAGGCGGUUUGUCGCGUCGGCUGUGAAAUCCCGAGGCUCAACCUCGGGUCUGCAGUCGAUACGGGCAAACUAGAGUAUUGCAGGGGAGACUGGAAUUCCUGGUGUAGCGGUGAAAUGCGCAGAUAUCAGGAGGAACACCGGUGGCGAAGGCGGGUCUCUGGGCCGAUACUGACGCUGAGGAGCGAAAGCGUGGGGAGCGAACAGG
rnacentral:rRNA from 1 species